GGGUCCCCAACUGCCGCCCAGGCUGCGCGUGGGGCCUGGCAUGGCGGCCUCCAGAGUCCGUUAGGUAAACAGGGAGCUGCACACUCACCAGAAGGAACCACGUGAUCAACAUAGCUAUCAGCUGACCCGACAGCUGCCUCCUGGCUCCCUUAGAUCCACCGCGGAUUUCUGGGCCUUCCUUAUGGACCAGAGCCCAGAAGAAAUACAGAAUGACUCUUCAUGUCUCCCAAGAAGUUGAAUAUUUUGAGGUUCUUGAUAAAAUGAAGUACACAUCCAGGUGUGCAGCUUUGUAUAGAAGCAAUUUAUUAAAAUAAAAGGAAAUACAAUA